CCCUCCCUUCAUUCCUCUCUGUCUCCAUUCCUCCACCUACUCCUCCCAAUUUCUCCCCCUAUAGCCCCCCUUCUCACCACCACUUAUAAUGGCACACAGGGCUCCCUCUGAGGUGGACAGCCCGAUGCACAGAGAAUUUUUGACCUUGUGACGUUUGGGAGUGAGGGGAUCCUAUGCAGAGUCAUCAAGGUAUUUACAGAGAUCCUGUGGUAAGCGAGGUCUGCCCUCUCUGGAGCCAACUCGUCUGUAAUAUCUUUCUAACAGCAGGUAAUGGUGCUAACAUUUAGUGAUUAGAAGUUACUCUUUAGUGUGUUGUAUCCUUGUUCCAUGGGUUUUGGUUACAGGUUAUACGAUUAGGUUUGCGAGAACAGUAGUGAACUAAACUUCUCAGUAAGAGGUCUUCACACCAGGGAAGUGUUACUUUUCUGCAGCAGCCCUGUCUCAUCACUCAUUAGGGAGCUGCAGGUUGUCAGCGGCUGCUCUCAGCGAGCGCGCACCCUCAAUGUCCCCGGGGGCGCGCACAUUUGCGAGUGUGUGUACACACACACACACACACACGGCACUAAAACUAAAUUAAGAAGCCGAUGAUUAAGACAAGCGUCUACUAGGCCUGUCAUUUCAGCAUCCUUCCAUCAUAACAUUGUGGCACCGGCAAUUUUGCUUGAGAACCUCGAGUAAAAAAAAAUCUAUGGGAGAGCCUCGUAUAUGAGAGUGGGAAUGUUUAGCUUGUAUAAGCUAGGGAGCCACUUCAAAAGCGAGAAAGUCCAAGGUGAAGAAGAGGAGCAGGAGGAGGAAGAGGACCAGGAUGAGAAGGCCUUGACAGAGACCCCUGGGACACUCCAGGAAAGUCUCUGUGAGCUGCCAGGUGUUCCAGGCUCUCUGAAGCCUAGUACAUGCGCAGCCAAGAGAAAAGUCCCCGUGAUCUUCAGCAAAAUGUGCAUGGGAGAAGCUUUGUCCCAACAUCACCCAAAGAAGAACCAAGCGCGGAAAGAUCCGUGGCUAAACACCACCAGAGGCCCAAGGGACCUUUAGUCUCUGGAAAAACUUCUCAGUCGAAUACCCUGUACAGCGUCUUGUAAACAUUGUAAACAUAAUGUCCACUA